UUAAAUUAAAUUAAAAAUAUAAAUACGAAAAAGAAAGAGAAAAAAAUAUGUAUAUAAAAAUGCAUAAAAAUACCAAUAAUAUUAAAAACGAAAUAGCAUAAAAAUACAUGCAUUAAAUUAAAAAUGAAAUAAAUGAAAUUACCGAAAAGACCCCAAAACACGAGCUUGGUCGAACGAAUUACACAACUUGGGCCCCUUCUUUUUUCUUUUUUCUUUUUUUCUUCCAUUUUUCUUUUUCUUCUCUUUUCUUUUUCUUUUUUCUGCUGGGCUGUUGGGCGAACUGGGCCUGCUAGGCUACUGCAGGCCUGCUGCUGAUGGCCUACUGUUUUGGGUUGCGUUGGGUUGCUGCUUGGGAUUGGGCCUGGCUGGCCUGUUUUUUCUUUUUUGGUUUUUUUUGCUGCUUUUUUCUUUCUAUUGGGCUGCUGGGCUGCUGGGUCGGGUACUGGUCGUAUCGAGUCAGGUCAGGUCGCCCCGAUUAUUAAAAAAAUAUUUUCUUUUUUCUUUUUUCUUUUCCUUCUUUCUUCUUCCCCUUUUCUUCUUUCUUUUUUCUUCCUUACUUCCUUUCCCGAUCAGCCCCCCCUUCGUGUUGCUUUCGUCGACGGUGACCUACUUCCCACCGACGACUAGCGGUGGCGCGUACGGUGGUUGUCCCUUUCCCUCUUUUUCUCCUUUUUCUUCUUUGCUCUUUUUCUUCUUUUUUUCUUUUUGCUUGCGGUUUUUUAUCUUCUUUGCUUCUUGUUUGUUUUGCUAGGUGUUGGGACGGUGGUGACGGUGAUAUCGUGGUGGUGGGCACGGUGGCGUGCGAUGGAGCUGCUGUUUUUCUUUGAUUUUUCUCUCAAAUUUUUUUUGUUUUUUUUUUGCUUCUCCUUUUUUCUCUGCCCAUUUUGGGGGUUUGAAAACCCUUUUUAUUUUGAUGUUUUCUCUUCUUUUUUUUGCAGGUUGCAGGUGGCUAGGGAGGGCUAGGCCGGUCUCCGCCGUUGC
rnacentral:lncRNA from 1 species